rnacentral:rRNA from 1 species
UACGGAGGGGGCUAGCGUUGUCCGAAGUUACUGGGCGUAAAGCGCGCGUAGGCGGGUUGGUAAGUCCGCUGUGAAAGCCCGGAGCUUAACUCCGGAGGGUCGGUGGAUACUGCCAGUCUUGAAGGUGCUAGGGGGAGAUGGAAUUACCGGUGUAGCGGUGAAAUGCGUAGAUAUCGGUAGGAACACCAGUGGCGAAGGCGGUCUCCUGGGGCAUUCUUGACGCUGAGGAGCGAAAGCAUGGGGAGCGAACAGG